GGCAGCAGUGGGGAAUCUUCGGCAAUGGGGGGAACCCUGACCGAGCGAUACCGCGUGAUGAGGAAAUACUUCGGUAUGUAAAGAUCUUUUACAAAGGAUGAAUGGCGUUAGGAGGAAAUGCCUAACGAGUGACAGUACUUUAGGAAUAAGCCCCGGCUAACUAUGUGCCAGCAGCCGCGGUAAUACAUAGGGGGCAAGCGUUAUCCGGAAUUAUUGGGCGUAAAGGGUGCGUAGGCGGCUACUUAAGUUUAUGGUCUAAAUUCAAGGCUCAACCUUGAAAUGCUUUAAAAACUGGGUGGCUUGAGAGAGGUAGAGGCAAGUGGAAUUCCAUGUGUAGCGGUAAAAUGCGUAAAUAUAUGGAGGAACACCAGUGGCGAAGGCGGCUUGCUGGGCCUUAUCUGACGCUGAUGCACGAAAGCGUGGGGAGCAAACAGGAUUAGAUACCCUGGUAGUCCACGCCGUAAACGAUGAGUACUAAGUGU
rnacentral:rRNA from 1 species